CCGCGGAACUACUCCCGACGCGCUGACUGGCCGCGGGCCCGCGCCCCGCUGCCGCGCGUGCGCCCCGUGCCGGGUACGUGCGUGCGUGCGUGCGUAUGUAUGCGCGUGCGCGCGCACGCCGCUCCCGCGGGCGGGAGCCGCGGACACGGGGCCUGCCCGCGGUGGCCGCCCCGCCUCCGCCAGCGCCCGCCCGCUGGGACGCCGCGGAUCCCGCUCCAGCCGUGCCUGCGAGGGGCAGGGCUUGGCCGCGAGGGGCGGGGCGGGGCACGCCCCCUGCUUCCAAGGCGGGCUCCCGCCGCGUAGGCGGCGCUGGCGGCUGCAGAGGGGUCGGGCAGCGCCCGCCGCCGCUCUUUGGGGCAUUCCUGCUCGGGUUGGGUGAGCCGAGGCCGGCCCCGGUGGGGGUGUGCGGUGGGGAGCGGCGGGGCCGUGAGCGUGCUGACGGGGAAGGCGCGGUGGGAAGAUAAACUCCUUAUCUGCAGUGGGCUGGGAGAGACUGAUAAGGGGCUACAGCUGUAUAGAGGCAAAGGGCAGCAAGAAGUCGGCAUGCUGGGAGCGAGGUGAUAUGGAGGUGGUGAUGCUGAGGCUGGAAGGUGUAGUGACCAGCGAGCCUUGCUCCGUCGACCGAAGGAGUUACUGUGGCAGCGUGAUGACAACAACAGACCACGAGCAGCUCUCAAAGCCUGUUAAAUAAAUACAUGAAAUGA